ACAGCUCAUAGCCAGACAGCACCUGCUAUGAGCCUGACGCUGUGCUUACUGCUUCUCUCACUCAGGCCUUUUUGGUGGAGGCGCUCUUAUUAUGCCCAUUUUACAGGGGAAGAAACUGAAGCCCCAAGGGCUGGCUGACUUGCUCAAGGUCACAGAGGAAGUAAAUGGUGGAGCCUGGAUUCGGACCCCACAGACUGGCUUCCGUGACGUGGCUUAAUAGCCACAGCUUUGCCCACCUCUGUGCUGGGUGCCGGGGUGCAGCGAUGAGAUCGACUGGAGGGGUUCCUGUUCCGGAGGCUCAGAAGCAGGUGGAAGGGAGUCAUAAAGAAAAACAAAGUGAAUCAGAACAGAAACAAUAUGUGGCCCACAAAGCCUAAAAUAUUUACUACCUGGACCUUGAAGGAAAAAGUUUGUUGAUACCUGCUAUAAGCCAUCAAAAUGUCAAGGAUUUUUGUUACACAACAUUAUUGCACAAAUAGAGAUCAUCAAACCAAAACUCUCAAAAGCGGAAUGUCUCACCAGGACUUUCUAAGGUCUUAUUGUUUUGCCUUCACCACAAAGGAACCCUCUCCAAGAACGUGAACUCCAGACCCGCAAGAAUCUGGUCACUUUGAUAUUUCUGGGGCCCAGAACAGUGGCCACCACAGGGUAGGCGCUGAG
rnacentral:lncRNA from 1 species